rnacentral:rRNA from 1 species
UACGUAGGGCGCAAGCGUUGUCCGGAAUUAUUGGGCGUAAAGAGCUCGUAGGCGGCUUGUCACGUCGGAUGUGAAAGCCCGGGGCUUAACCCCGGGUCUGCAUUCGAUACGGGCAGGCUAGAGUUCGGUAGGGGAGAUCGGAAUUCCUGGUGUAGCGGUGAAAUGCGCAGAUAUCGGGAAGAACACCCGUGGCGAAGGCGGCUCUCUGGGACGGUACUGACGCUGAGACGCGAAAGCGUGGGGAGCGAACAGG